rnacentral:rRNA from 1 species
ACAGGGAUUCCCUUAGUAACGGCGAGUGAACCGGGAAAAGCUCAAAUUUGAAAUCUGCCAACAGGCCGAGUUGUAAUUUGUAGAUGGCUACACUGCAUAAUAGUAGAUGCUCAAGUUCUUUGGAAAAAGACAUCAUGGAGGGUGACAAUCCCGUGAGGCAUGUUACUAGGAGCAUAUAGUGGGCUUUCUAAGAGUCGAGUUGUUUGGGAAUGCAGCUCAAAGUGCGUGGUGAAUACCAUGUAAAGCUAAAUAUGGACGAGAGACCGAUAGCGAACAAGUACUGUGAAGGAAAGAUGAAAAGCACUCCGAAAGGAGAGUGAAAUAGUACGUGAAAUUGUUAAAGUGGAAGGGCUUGAGAUCAGAAUUGGUAGUUUGGGUUCCACGUCCUCUUGGGGGCGUGUACUCCCUUUCCACCGGGCCAGCGGGAGUUUCGUCUCUUGGGUAAAAGCAGUGGAAUGUAGCAGCUUGUCUGUAUUAUAGCCUCUGUUCAUACAAGACGUCGAGACUUGAUUUGUUGGCGUAAUGAUCUCUAGCCACCCGUCUUGAAACACGGACCUCCUG